GAUGAACGCUGGCGGUAUGCUUAACACAUGCAAGUCGAACGGAAGCCUUCGGGCUUUAGUGGCGGACGGGUGAGUAACACGUGAGAACCUACCUUGAGGUUCGGGAUAACAUUGGGAAACUGAUGCUAAGACCGGAUGUGCCAAUAGGUGAAAGAUUAAUUGCCUUGAGAUGGGCUCGCGGUGGAUUAGGUAGUUGGUAGUGUAACGGACUACCAAGCUGAUGAUCCAUAGCUGGUCUGAGAGGAUGACCAGCCACACUGGGACUGAGACACGGUCCAGACUCCUACGGGAGGCAGCAGUGGGGGAAUUUUCCGCAAUGGGCGCAAGCCUGACGGAGCAAUACCGCGUGCGGGAGGAC
rnacentral:rRNA from 1 species